CAAAUAGUCAAGGCAGAAGUCUUUCAUCUUUAAAAUCUUCAGCCAUGAGCUUGUGGAGGAACGGUAACAAUGGUGGCGCUGAUGGAAGCAAUGCGGGGAGCACGGUAUUGGACCUGCAACUACGCCUCGCACAACCCACAGGGAGGAUAGAGGUUAACAGUGGCAAUGGUAGUGGCUCGUCAUCAUCUAGCUCAUGUGUGUCAUCAGAUAUUUCAUCAGUGCUGGUGCUCGGUGGAUGCAAACGGUGUUGGAGGUAUUGCAUGGUGAGCAAGGAGCUCCCAAUCUGCAUCAACUGCAAGCAGCCCUGCUUUAUCGGCUUCAACACUGAAGAGAAGCAUGGCUAGAGCAAGUGAAGGGAGGCUAGCAAGCUAGAGCUUAUUGGACUUGGUCUAUUUGGUUCAAUAGUAGGCUGGCUAGUAGAGUCUAAGCUUAGUUUCCUAUGUGGAGUAAGUUUUGUUCUUUUAUGGGGUAUGGACUAGGUGGUUCUUAAUGUUGUGGUAAUAAUGAUUGCAGUUGUCACAGUGCCCUGAUUAAUAAGUUUUUUUCCAAGAUUUGCUUGAAACAUGUUAUUUUGAAUUUGAAUAAAUACUUGGGUUCUUAUGAGUGAA